rnacentral:rRNA from 1 species
GUGAGGAAUAUUGGUCAAUGGACGGAAGUCUGAACCAGCCAUGCCGCGUGAAGGAUGAAGGCGUUCUGCGUUGUAAACUUCUUUUAUCAGAGAAGAAACCACUGAUUUCUAUUAGUGUUGACGGUAUCUGAUGAAUAAGCACCGGCUAACUCCGUGCCAGCAGCCGCGGUAAUACGGAGGGUGCAAGCGUUAUCCGGAUUUACUGGGUUUAAAGGGUGUGUAGGCGGGCUAUUAAGUCAGGGGUGAAAUCCCGGGGCUCAACCUCGGAACUGCCUUUGAUACUAGUAGUCUUGAAUUAUGUUGAGGUUGGCGGAAUAUAACAUGUAGCGGUGAAAUGCAUAGAUAUGUUAUAGAACACCGAUUGCGAAGGCAGCUGGCUAAACAUAUAUUGACGCUGAGGCACGAAAGCGUGGGUAGCGAACAGGAUUAGAAACCCCAGUAGUCC